GCAGUCGACGAACUCUGGUAUUGAUUGGUGCUUGCAUCAUGAUUUACAUUUGAGUGAGUGGCGAACUGGUGAGUAACACGUGGGAAACCUGCCCAGAAGCGGGGGAUAACACCUGGAAACAGAUGCUAAUACCGCAUAACAACUUGGACCGCAUGGUCCGAGUUUGAAAGAUGGCUUCGGCUAUCACUUUUGGAUGGUCCCGCGGCGUAUUAGCUAGAUGGUGGGGUAACGGCUCACCAUGGCAAUGAUACGUAGCCGACCUGAGAGGGUAAUCGGCCACAUUGGGACUGAGACACGGCCCAAACUCCUACGGGAGGCAGCAGUAGGGAAUCUUCCACAAUGGACGAAAGUCUGAUGGAGCAACGCCGCGUGAGUGAAGAAGGGUUUCGGCUCGUAAAACUCUGUUGUUAAAGAAGAACAUAUCUGAGAGUAACUGUUCAGGUAUUGACGGUAUUUAACCAGAAAGCCACGGCUAACUACGUGCCAGCAGCCGCGGUAAUACGUAGGUGGCAAGCGUUGUCCGGAUUUAUUGGGCGUAAAGCGAGCGCAGGCGGUUUUUUAAGUCUGAUGUGAAAGCCUUCGGCUCAACCGAAGAAGUGCAUCGGAAACUGGGAAACUUGAGUGCAGAAG
rnacentral:rRNA from 3 species